GAUAGUAGGGUGGCGUUGGAGUUACCGGAGGCUUUGGUGGUAAAGUUGGUGGUGUUGGGACCACCGGAGGUUUAGGUGGUAAAGUUGGUGGCGUCGGGACCACCGGAGGCUUUGGUGGCAAAGUUGGUGGUGUUGGGGUCACCGGAGGCUUUGGUGGUAAAGUUGGUGGUGAUGGGGUCACCGGAGGCUUUGGUGGUAAAGUUGGUGGUUUCGGUGGGUAAACGAUAGGCGGUUUUGGAUAAUAUGGUGGCGGUUUUGGUGGUAAAGUUGGUGGUUUCGGUGGGUAAACGAUAGGCGGUUUUGGAUAAUAUGGUGGCUUUACAACAGGAGGUUUGGGUACCAAAGGUGGCGGCUUUACUACAGGAGGUUUUGGCACAUAG
rnacentral:lncRNA from 1 species